rnacentral:lncRNA from 1 species
UAAGCGAGUGUAAAUUAAAAAAAUAAAUUUAAUAUUUUUUUAAUAUUAAUUAUCUAAUCACUAAAUUUUUUUAUUAAAAAUUUAAGUAAUUAAAAUUUUAUUUAUUUGCUAAAAUUUUUAUUUGUAUAUAUUUUGGUCCCCCUCGUCAUUGAAUUCUGGCUUCGUCCCUAUGCGUUAGUUUUCAUUCGUUUCCACAUAUUUUAUUUUUUUAUUUUUUAUUUUUUUGAAAGAUAGGUAGUGUGUUACCUGCUUCGUUUAUUUUAUUUAGAAAUAAAUUUAGCUGGAAAUAUGAAUUAACUGAAAUUCAAAUUUGGGUCUCGAAUAUCAACCAUCAAGCCCUUUGUUACUUGCUUGACGAUUUUGCUUUUUCUUUUUUACUCUACUAUUUUGUUUUCUUUAUAUAU